UAUAAAACCCGUGUCCCUUUGUUAGGGCUGCAUUCAGCCCUGGAGAAGAGCUCAGGCUUCCAUGCAGUGGUGGACGGCGGCAGCAGCAAAGCAGCAGCAGAUCCUUCCUUCUUUAUUUCUUCCUUUGGGAAAUAUUCCCAAAAUACCCAAAAGGUUUCUCUCUCCUGGCUCUAUGGGAUUCGGCCUGUGAACCCAAGCUUCUUCUUCUCCUGGUGAACUAUGUGGGAUUCCGCCUCUGAGAAGUGAUGAUGGGAGCAGCCCCCGGUGGGGGAAGAGGGAAUGCCCCCCGGUGGUGGAGAGGGAAUGCCCCCCGGUGGGGGAGAGGAGGAAUGGCCAUCUCGGUUCAUGCUAGGCCUUUUUAUAGGCUGCAACUCCCUCUUUCCUCCCCUGUUUCGAAUCAUGGAUAAAGAUGAACAGAUGACUUCUAUCCCUUGAUCCUUGGACGCGGUGGAUGAUUUCAUUCUAUCCGUGUCUGCUGAAGCUUAUCUUCCUGCUGGCGAGAACAUGGGAUCAUGAAUGUUGAGAGGAUCUCGGACGGUUGGAACAAGCGUGGGAGAGAUGGGAUGUUGGGAGAUUACAUGAAAUUACGCUGGAAGAGGAUGGGAUCCCGUGAAUUAUGCAGAGGAUUUGGCUCCAUUCUAGAGAGAUAAUCUGAGAGAUAAUCUUUGCAAUCAGUUCGGUGUUGAAGACUUAUCCGUGGAUGAAGGAAUCGUUGGUCAAGAAGUUUGCUGGGGUCAAUCUGACAGAAGAGGAUAGGUUGGUUCGGAAUGAACACGGAGAAACAGGGGAUGAUGUGGUUGAAGUUUGGUGGAUACGGCUGAUGGUCCCCGGCAACGGCGCCAAAAACUUGAUGCAAAAAUAAAAUUGUUCUCCUAAGUGCAGGAGAAUCGCACAAGUAGUAAAUUCUCGGGAGUCCGAAGUCGAAUCCUCAGGAAACGAAAUGUAUAUGAGAUUAUUUAAUAUAAUUUUAGAUUAAUUAAUUCAAUAAAUUUGUGGAUUAAAAUUAUGUUUUGAUUUUCAGAAAUUAAAAUGCAGAGAAU
rnacentral:lncRNA from 1 species